UUCAAGCGGGUUUUUCAUAACUCCUUUCAUUCUUGUCAUUUCAACAAAAAAUGACUUGGUUUUGUUUAUUCUUAAAUCCCAGCUCUCUAUCCUUUCCUCUCAUUCUCAAAAAUGACCCAUACCCUAGCUUCUCUUUCUAAAAUUGCAACUCUCUCUCCUUUCUCAAGACUUUAAUCAUUUUUUGUUGGAUAGACUUUCAAAAGACGAUCUUUCAACAAGUCUUUCUUUGGGCUUUGUCUACUUUGCUCGUUGCCUUCGCCUCCACUUUUAGGCAAUUUUUUAUUCUUGAAUCUCAAUUGCGAAUGGUUGUUCUUGAUAGCAAAAUGAAGAGUUAUAAGAUUGUGUCUUAAUGUUGAUGGAAUUUGAACUUGUUAUUGUCCAAGAAAUAAAGUUCAAAGAGGAAAAAUAAUGCAUGGGCAAGGUGUUCUGAUUUCUAAUUUGGUACACCCAUUUGAUAGGUGAAAUUUAACUUCUAAUUCCCUUUUUCUUUUUCCUAUCAGGAAUCUGAUUUGAUA
rnacentral:misc_RNA from 1 species